rnacentral:misc_RNA from 1 species
CUUUGUGUUAAAGGCCUUCAAAGACCCAAUGAUCAGUCUUGCGGUUGUGUGCAGUGCAUUUUCUCUUGGGUUUGGCAUUAGAAAGCAUGGACUGGCAGAAGGAUGGAGGGAGGAGGCAGCAUUUUCUCACUGUUUCUAUAGUCAUCAUUGCAUCUCCCCUCAGUAACUUCUGGCCUAACAAACAAUUCAACAAGUUGUCCCAAAUUAGUUACAGUAUCAAGGCGGAAGUUGUCAGGAAUGGG